AAAGACCAUUCUCAACAAUCAGACUGUUGACAUUCCAGAAAUGCCAAAAUCAAUCAGAAAGGUUACACAGUCAUUGUGAAGGGCCCCAGGGGGACUCUGCAGAGGGACUUCAAUCACAUCAAUGUAGAGCUGAGUCUUCUUGGGAAGAAAGAGAGGCUCUGGGUUGACAAAUGGUGGGGUAACAGAAAGGAACUGGCCACUGUCAGAACCAUCUGCAGUUACGUUCAGAACAAGAUCAAGGGUGUUACACUGGGCUUCUGUUAAGAUGAGGUCUGUGUGUGCUCACUUUCCUAUCAACAUCGUUAUUCAGGCAAAUGGGUCUUUAGCUGAAAUCUGAAAUUUCUUGGGUGGAAAAUACAUCCACAGGGUUCAGAUAAGGACAGGUGCUGCUUGUGCUGUCUCUCAAGCCCAGAAGGAUGAGUUAAUCCUUGAAGGAAAUGAUGUUGAACUUGUUUCAAAUUCAGCCGCUCUGAUUCAGCAAGUUAAAAACAAGGAUGUCAGGAAGUUUUGGGCAGCAUCUAUGUGUCUUAGAAGGGAACCGUGCAGCAGGUUGACG
rnacentral:lncRNA from 1 species